rnacentral:rRNA from 1 species
GCUCAACCGAGGAAGUGCUUCGAAAACUGGUAAACUUGAGUGCAGAAGAGGAAAGUGGAACUCCAUGUGUAGCGGUGGAAUGCGUAGAUAUAUGGAAGAACACCAGUGGCGAAGGCGGCUUUCUGGUCUGUAACUGACGCUGAGAUUCGAAAGCAUGGGUAGCAAACAGGAUUAGAUACCCUGGUUGUCCAUGCCGUAAACGAUGAGUGCUAAGUGUUGGAGGGUUUCCGCCCUUCAGUGCUGCAGCUAACGCAUUAAGCACUCCGCCUGGGGAGUACGACCGCAAGGUUGAAACUCAAAGGAAUUGACGGGGGCCCGCACAAGCGGUGGAGCAUGUGGUUUAAUUCGAAGCAACGCGAAGAACCUUACCAGGUCUUGACAUACCAUGAAAAGCUUAGAGAUAAGUCUUUCCCUUCGGGGACAUGGAUACAGGUGGUGCAUGGUUGUCGUCAGCUCGUGUCGUGAGAUGUUGGGUUAAGUCCCGCAACGAGCGCAACCCUUAUUAUCAGUUGCCAGCAUUCAGUUGGGCACUCUGGUGAGACUGCCGGUGACAAACCGGAGGAAGGUGGGGACGACGUCAAAUCAUCAUGCCCCUUAUGACCUGAGCUACACACGUGCUACAAUGGUCGGUACAACG